rnacentral:rRNA from 1 species
GAUGAACGCUGGCGGUAUGCUUAACACAUGCAAGUCGAACGGACUCUUCGGAGUUAGUGGCGGACGGGUGAGUAACGCGUGAGAAUCUGGCUUUGGGUUCGGGACAACCACUGGAAACGGUGGCUAAUACCGGAUGUGCCGAGAGGUAAAAGAGAAAUUGCCUGAAGAUGAGCUCGCGUCUGAUUAGCUAGUUGGUGAGGUAAAGGCUCACCAAGGCAGGGAUGAGUAGCUGGACUGAGAGGGUGACCAGCCACAGAGGCACUGGGGCACGGCCCGGAGGGAUACGGGAGGCAGGGGUGGAGAAUUUACCGAGAUGGGCGAAGGCCUGGCGGAGCAAUACCGCGUGGGGGAAGAAGGCUCUUGGGUAGGAAACCUCGUUUCUUAGGGAAGAACAAUAUGACCGGACCUAAAGAAUCAACAUCGGCUAACUCCGUGC